GAUGAACGCUGGCGGCGUGCCUAAUACAUGCAAGUUGAGCGAUGAAGCUUGGUGCUUGCUCCAAUUUGAAGAGCAGCGAACGGGUGAGUAACGCGUGGGGAAUCUGCCUUUGAGCGGGGGACAACUUUUGGAAACGAAUGCUAAUACCGCAUAACAACUUUAAACAUAAGUUUUAAGUUUGAAAGAUGCACUUGCAUCACUCAAUGAUGAUCCCGCGUUGUAUUUGCCAGUUGGUUAGGUAAAGGCACACCAAAGCGAAGAAACAUAGCCGACCUGAGAGGGUUGUUGGCCACAUUGGGACUGAGACACGGCCCAAACUCCUACGGGAAGCAGCAGGAAGGGAUCUUCGGCAAUGGACGGAAGUCUGGCCGAGCAACGCCGCGUGAGGGAAGAAGGGUUUCGGAACGUAAAACUCUUGUGAUAGGGGAGAACGUUAGGUGUAGGGGAAAGCGCAUCAAGUGACGGUAACUACCCAGAAAGGCACGGCUAACUACGUG
rnacentral:rRNA from 1 species